GACAGCUCAGAGUUUAAUGGGUCAAAAAGAUGACGAGCAUGUUGAGCAAGAAAAUGGAGAAUUCACAGAGGCCCAUGCUUCUAUUUCUAGGGUUAUGCAUUUUCUCAUUGCAGUGGAUGCUGACCCAUCAGGAAGGUAAAACUAUACUAAAAUAUAGAAAUAAAUAAAUACAUACACACAUAUAUAGACAUGUACAAAAUGUCUGAGACCACAUUGAAAAUUUGGAAAUAAACAGGAUUUAUAAUUUUGAAAUAUUUACAACAAAGAAAGAAAAUGUUUAAUAUUUUGAAUAUUUAAUAUUGACAAUUCUGCACUAUUUCUAGGUCCCUAAUUGUAACAUCCAUUUGUGAUAUUAACCGUGUUAACUGCAUUGUACAAAUGUCUCAUCUCUUCUAUUGAAGUAUGUGUUCAUAGGACACUGCUAUGGAUGUGAUCGAAAAUGGAUUAUAAGUCGAUGUGGCCUUAGGAGGAAUAGCAACACAAUCUUCUGUAUACCUUAACUCUUUCCCUGCUUCCUUUGCUACUGAUGGGAACAGAGCAUCAGACUUAUAUUCCUACUCAUGUGCACACACAGACUAUGAAUAUAACCCAUGGUGGAGGGUGGAUUUGUUGGCAGUGUAUGAUAUUAAGUAUGUAAUCAUCACUAACAGAGGGGACUGCUGUUCAGAACGGAUAAAUGGUGCUGAGAUUCACAUUGGCAACUCCUUGGUCAACAACGGCAACAAUAACCCCAGAUGUGUCAUUAUCUCUAGCAUCCCUGCUGGUGCCCCUGCAAAUUACACCUGCAAGAUGAGGGGUCGUUAUGUGAACGUCAUCAUUCCCAAUGUUAUCCAGUGUAUCAAUCUCUGUGAAGUGGAAGUCUAUGGGGUUCCAGUGCAUAUUAAGAGGGCAUUUCUGAGAUUGAAGUUUAACAGCAGUGAAGAUCUCAUGAACCCUACCGUGAGGGACAAAGUUCUUCAAAAGAUUAUAUCUGCCAAUGUCCAGCCAUCAGUGCUUCAGAUCCGUUGGACAAAGGAACCAGAGGUGGAAACUGAAACUUAAAGAACGGUGGCAGAAAUAUAUCUUGAAGAAGAAGAAGAAGAAGAAGAAGAAGAAGAAGAAGAAGAAGAAGAAGAAGAAGAAGAAGAAGAAGAAGUAGAAGAAGUAGAAGAAGUGGUCAAAGAACAAAAACAAAACAUAAAAUGUGUGAGGUUUUAGGUGUAGCAUUUAGAACUAUUAUUUAAUCUGAGGAAAUCUACCAUUUAAAGCAACUGAUGUUAUAUAUUUAUUAGUUAGAAGUACUAGAAGUUUUUUAGUUUGUUUGUUUGGGAAAGGUAUCUAUGAAAAUGAUUACUACAGAGUUUGUACAAGGUGCUGGAAGUGCUUGAAUUUGGCAUUUUUUAUGUAACAGUGCUUAAAAAGUGCUUGAAUGAUAAAAAGUCAAUAAAUAAAAAAUAACUAAAACACUUAAAAGGGUUUAUUUUUGAAAGAGCACAAAUAAAAUCCUUUCACUCAAAAUAUGACUCCCUGCUGCAGCCCCUCCUCCUCCUUUUGGUCACUCAUUCAUUUUAACAGGGACGGCUUUGGUCCACUUCUCAGACCUCUUUAGCAACUUUUUUCAAAAAAAGCACCUAGCAACAUAUCUAGCGACUUUUUGGACAAACCUUAGCUACUUUCUGUAGAAAAGAAUGGCCACUACUGCCUGGCGAGUGCGAGGUCCUGCUUUCAGAAACAGAAAAAUUAUGUAAAUGAGAACAGCUUUAUUGGGAAUUCGGCUAUAUUAAAAUUCAGCAUGUGAGCACAGAGAGUAGAAUAUGUUAUAACAGGCUGACACUAGGCAGAGUGAAAAUAUGAUGCAAUGAUGUAAUAAAUAUGCUAAUUAGUGCAUGACAUCAUCUAGCAUUGUUUGGACACAGUGCUCCUGUCACUCACUUGGAGUAUUUUGACAUUAUGGUGAAAAUGAAGCAAUGACUGGGAAAUACAAAUUUAGUCCAUCACGGCUGGGAAAAGGACCUAUAUAAAAAUUGGUUGUUUAAAAAAAAUAUUAUUAUUAUUAAUAUUUUUUUUGGAAAUGAAGGAUAUGUUUGAAUGACAUCUCUUGUAUAGUCCUUGAAAGUCCUGGAUUUCAGUAUGAAGCAUCUGUACGGACCCUGUUACUAUGUACUAUAUGAUUGAUUGAUGUAUUAAACAUGCCCUCUUGAUUUCUGGGUUUAGCAUAGUUAUA